AACGAACGCUGGCGGCAGGCUUAACACAUGCAAGUCGAACGCAUCCUUCGGGGCGAGUGGCAGACGGGUGAGUAACGCGUGGGAACGUGCCCUUCAGUUCGGGAUAACCCAGGGAAACUUGGGCUAAUACCGGAUACGUGCGAGAGCAGAAAGAUUUAUCGCUGAAGGAUCGGCCCGCGUCUGAUUAGCUAGUUGGUGGGGUAAUGGCCCACCAAGGCGACGAUCAGUAGCUGGUCUGAGAGGAUGAUCAGCCACAUUGGGACCGAGACACGGCCCAAACUCCUACGGGAGGCAGCAGUGGGGAAUAUUGGACAAUGGGCGCAAGCCUGAUCCAGCCAUGCCGCGUGAGUGAUGAAGGCCUUAGGGUUGUAAAGCUCUUUCGUCCGGGACGAUAAUGACGGUACCGGAAGAAGAAGCCCCGGCUAACUUCGUGCCAGCCGCCGCAGUAA
rnacentral:rRNA from 1 species